UACGGAGGGUGCAAGCGUUAUCCGGAUUCACUGGGUUUAAAGGGAGCGUAGGUGGGCUGGUAAGUCAGUGGUGAAAUCUCCGGGCUUAACUCGGAAACUGCCGUUGAUACUAUCAGUCUUGAAUAUUGUGGAGGUAAGCGGAAUAUGUCAUGUAGCGGUGAAAUGCUUAGAUAUGACAUAGAACACCGAUAGCGAAGGCAGCUUGCUGCACAAUUAUUGACACUGAGGCUCGAAAGCGUGGGGAUCAAGCAGG
rnacentral:rRNA from 1 species